UUUGUUUUGACCGGAAGUUAAAACCCACGUUCUUGGUGGUUUUCUCUGGAUGUCUCUUCAAAAACCACCCACUAUCCCCAAUUGAUGAAGUUCUUUUCUCCUCCCGAAUGAAUUCGAAACAACUCUCAACAACGGCUCCUGAUUUUGCUCUAGUGGUUUAUCUGAUUUCAAAUCUUCUUCACAUUCAUCUUUUUUAUUCUUACUGAUUUUUUUUUUUUUUUUUUUGAAUUUUGAUUACACAAUUCGCUAUAUACCUUAGAAUCAGGUUAUCGAAGUUCGAACGGUCUCGUCUCCGGUCAAUACAAUUUCAUCUUAUUUUUUGUGAAGUUUCACCAGCAUUGAGCAAAGUGGAGAAUUACAGUCUCAUACUUGAUGUAUCUCUUUUCUUUUUUAAGCUGUAACGGUUUCCUGUGGAAUCCAAAGGCCUGCAAAAGAUGUUGCAGGAGACAUCUAUAUAUGUUAAACCUUUUUUCUCCAAAUUGACCCAUUAUAUAUUUAUGUGAAUAUGUGAUAUUUGGAUUUGUUUUGUUUAUGCAGGUUGGAUAUGUGACAACUAUCUGCGUUAGAUGUUUCAUGUGCCAUGAUGAUAAAGGAUACACAUUACUUAUUUGAUUCCUACCUGGACAUUGUUGGAAGCCCAUGGUGGUUUUGGAAAAGGAAAGGUUUCCAUUUACUUAGUUUUCAGUUGAUUUGGCAUACACAACUUUAGAGAACAUCAUUUUGUUUGUCAUGGAUGCGGCUGAUAAACUAUUAGUUUUAACCGUCAGUGGAAGAGAUUUGCAGUAUGGUUCAAAUUGCUAGACACAUUUUUGAUGCUGAUCAUAUUAUUACGUCUUUGCGAGGUGAAGUCCGGAUACUUAAGGAGCUUCCUCCUAGCCUCAUGUUAGCUCUUACUAUACUAUCAUAAUCAGGUACUAUUUUUUAUAUUAUUUACACUAUAAUUGAUGGAAUUUUUUUCACACAAUGCUAACCGAUUAUUCCUCUUAAAAACACAAAGUUGUGCACUUGAGCACAACCGAUGCUCGGCUUGCCAAUAAUGGUCAACCAUUUAAAGCACUUGAUAUCAACCACGAUAUCCAGAUUUACAUUUCUGUUGGUGAAAUAUAUGGUGGAAAAGGAGAAUGGAUAGUCUUGCAGAUGUCUACCCAAGACUGGUUCGAACUUUUAAAAAAUAUAAUAUCAAUUUUCUAACUUAACAUCUUAUUGGUUUUUGGAUUUUUGGAUUUCAAAAGACAAUUCUAUUGGACAAAUAUACAAGUGGAGUUUUGAGCUGGGACGAAUUCUUUGGCACAGUUAAGGAUACACAUGCGCAACGUAGCGGGGCCCCUACAAAAAGAUUGGUUAUGCUCGAUAGACCCAAUCAGAAGAUUACUAUUAUGCAAAUCCAGAAGAGUAUCAGAUGAUGAACAUGUGAGCAUCCUGUGAGUAAGGAUUUGUUGGUUAGGUUGGUCGGUUGGGAUCUAGGAACUAUCUGAACCAUGGGCUAGGAAAUAACAAGGCUCAUAUGUAAAUCUGAUUCCUCAUGAUUAAAGAAUUUCAUAUUUUAGUUAUGAA